rnacentral:lncRNA from 1 species
AAAAAUUAUCAAAACAUGAACAAAACUGUGAACAUAGUGUUAGUGAAAGAAAUAAAUACACAAAUAACUACAAACAAGUUUUUAUUGACAUUUAUUAUGAAGAUCUCCCACUUAAGUUAUAGUAGCCAAGGAAGCCAUCGUCUCAGAGUAGCUUCAGUCUGGGCAGCAAUCGGUGAAAGGGUUAAACUAUAUUUUCGAAGGUAGAAAAAAAAACGGCGGAUAGCAAAAAGCAUAUUGACCGGCAAAAAGCAUAUUGCACGGUUAUUUUUAGAAUAUCUAAAAACCGAUAUACUUUGUGACGUCAUGUAAUAACUUCAGGAUAUUGUUUAACGUUUUGAAACAAAUGAUAUCUGUGAUCGAUUAUUUG